rnacentral:rRNA from 1 species
AACGAACGCUGGCGGCAUGCCUAACACAUGCAAGUCGAACGAGACCUUCGGGUCUAGUGGCGCACGGGUGCGUAACGUGUGGGAACCUGCCCUUAGGUUCGGAAUAACUCCCCGAAAGGGGUGCUAAUACCGGUUAAUGUCUUCGGACCAAAGAUUUAUCGCCUUUGGAUGGGCCCGCGUUGGAUUAGCUAGUUGGUAGGGUAAAAGCCUACCAAGGCGACGAUCCAUAGCUGGUCUGAGAGGAUGAUCAGCCACACUGGGACUGAGACACGGCCCAGACUCCUACGGGAGGCAGCAGUGGGGGAUAUUGGACAAUGGGCGAAAGCCUGAUCCAGCAAGGCCGCGUGAGUGAUGAAGGCCUUAGGGUUGUAAAGCUCUUUGACCCGGGAUGAUAAUGACAGUACCGGGAGAAUAAGCUCCGGCUAACUCCGUG